GACGAACGCUGGCGGCGUGCUUAACACAUGCAAGUCGAGCGGUAAGGCCCUUUCGGGGGUACACGAGCGGCGAAUGGGUGAGUAACACGUGGGUGACCUGCCCUCAGCUCUGGGAUAAGCCUGGGAAACCGGGUCUAAUACCGGAUAUGACUCCAUGACGCAUGUUGUGGGGUGGAAAGCCUUGUGCGGCUGAGGAUGGGCCCGNGGCCUAUCAGCUUGUUGGUGGGGUGANGGCCUACCAAGGCGACGACGGGUAGCCGGCCUGAGAGGGCGACCGGCCACACUGGGACUGAGACACGGCCCAGACUCCUACGGGAGGCAGCAGUGGGGAAUCCUGCGCAAUGGGCGAAAGCCUGACGCAGCGACGCCGCGUGAGGGAUGACGGCCUGG
rnacentral:rRNA from 1 species